AUGACGAGCACACAGCCUGAGCGAACUCAAGACCGCUCGCUCCCACAACAAGACAGAACAUGGAACGCGAGUGUCCGGAACCCGACUCAAAAGCGAAACUCAACAAGACAUGAGUGCCAGUGUCUCCGAGUUCGACCUCGAGUGCCCAUCUCAAAACUUCAGCCAGCCCACAACUCCGCAUCUUCUGCCAAAGCCCAACCAUUGGCUUCCCAAGACAUCACUUCAACGACUACUGAUCUUACAGCCAAUCAGCAACCUCGGGAAACCCCCUUUUCGGCAAGGACAAAGGGAACCCCUUUACACAGGCAAGGCAAGUAACUUACCUCAAGCUGAACUGGUGCAUCAAAUAUAAUUUUCACCUCAGUGAGGAACUCAAUGCGAGGGUUAAUUAAGUGAUUGAUGGUUGUUCAUGUCUAUGCAAUUUUACAUAUUGCUAUAAAAUUGGGAUUUCACAUUUUCAUUCUCUUAAACUCAUUCUUUCCUUACUUUCUCUCUUCCUGCAACUUGUGUGAAUGCGUGUGUUCAUGUGUUAGAUUAGUUUAUAUGUCUUAGAUUUAUCCAAUAAAGCCUUAUUUAUAUUGAAAAGAAAAGUAUCUUGUGUUUUGUGCUUACAAGUUAAUGUCUUAAACUGCCGAUCUUGUUACUGUGCUAAUUAAUAGUGUUUUCAUUAUGCUUUAUAUUUUACAUCCAUUGCAGAGUUGAUGUUAUCCAUUAAAUCACUGGCCGACACAGUGACCAGCUGUAAAAUAGUGAUUCUGUCCAAAUUUCAUUUGAGCUAAAUUGACCUGUUUCCCUUACACAGAUACAUAACAAAAUGAUGUUUGCUACUGUAAUGAAUAUGAUACUUAUUUUUUAUUUAAUAGGCAGGAGAAAUUCCCAACAUUAAACAAACAACCUUUUAAAUGCAGGACAUUUGCGUUGUAAGAAUGUAAAGGAAUACUUCAGAUAUAAAAACACUGACUCGUUAGGUAAUGUUUUUCAUUAAAAACAUACGAUUUAUUCUUAAUUCAGUUGAAAGUAUGGAAUACUAGGAAAUAGCAAUACCAGUUCUAUAUUAUAGAUUAGUGGUGUAAACUUAUAAUUGAUUACUAUAGACACAUGGACUUAACAGACACAUGCAUGUCCUCAAGACACUAGAUUUCCUCUAAUAUACCACAAUAAUUUACCUCAAACAUCUCGUUUUCACAAUCCUCUGAUGUCAAACUCAAUCGAAAAUAAAAUUAAUCAGACCUAAAGUGCAAGAGAGAUCUCGCUUCUGGAUUGCAAAAUAACAAAAAUGCAUCAGUGAUUAUUGUCUUGAUAUUAUCACAUAGAAAUGGUUGACAAGAUAAAGUUAGCUUGAUCAUUUUAUGUAGCAAAAAUAAAUUGUAAGUGUAUUUCCUUAAUUUCCCCACCACCAAAAGCAGAACUGUUAACAUUAGAGUUUAUCGAUACUACAGUUUAUCAUAAUUCAGCCCCAGGGCCCGUUUAAUACUGAAUUCAGGUAUUCAGUCAUACUUGCAAGAGAAGCAAGGAAAGAUGAGUUACAAUUACAAAGCUACAUGACAGUAUUUCUUGCAUCUGCAUUUUCUAAAUACAUCAUAAGUGGAAGAAUAACGCAGUCAUUUUAAAAACAACAGUAAAGAAAAAGUAACAAAUAAAUAGCAGUCGCUCUUAAAAGUGUUACAGCCUCUUCUUCAGCUUCCUGAACAAGAACGGUUUGUAAAAAGCUUCUUUCCUUCAUGAAAGAAUAAGCAAACUACAAGUGAUGUAUAUGCAUUAUAAGAUAAUUGAACAUAAUAUGAAACUUAUAAGAAAACACAAUGAUAUACAAGAAUAAACCUUUCUGACAUUGUUCUUUGGGGAGGAGCUCCAUCUUUGAGUUAAUCUGAAUCUCUCAGUUGAAUCUGCUGGUUUUGAAGAUGAAGAUGAACUUUAUUCACUGUGAAACCUUAGAUAAUGUUUCUUUGUCAUGUCACUUGUAAUGACUGGUUAGGACAGAUUUAUCCAGAUGAUUUUUUACUGCUUGAUGCAUUAUUGUGUCUCAUUUGGUGAGGAUGCAACAUUGACCUUAAAGUGCUGAUCUGAAGAUGAUCUACUUACUGUGAUUGUUUUUUGUAUGUCUGUGUAGAGCGGAUAACUGAAUGAAACGAUUCCCACAUGCAGUGCAGUGAUAUGGUUUCUCUCCAGUGUGUCCUCUCGUGUUUUUCAGGUCUCCUGACUGACAAAAUCUCUUGUCACAGUGUGAACACUUGUAAGGUUUCUCUCCAGUGUGGAUCCUCUCAUGUCUUUUCUAGAUGUCCUGACCGACUGAAUCUCUUGUCACAGUGUGAACACUUGUAAGGUUUCUCUCCAGUGUGAAUCCUCUCAUGUCUUUUCAGAUGUGCUGCCUGACUGAAUCUCUUGUCACAGUGUGAACACUCGUAAGGUGUUUCUCCACAGUGAAUCCUCUCAUGCUGUUUUAAAUAUUUAGCUAAAGUAAAAGUCUUAUCACACUCAAAGCACACAUGCUCUCUCACAGCAGUGUGUAUUUUCUGAUGAACUUUCAAGCUUUGAAGACAUGAAUAACUUUUUCCACACAAAUAACAUGAAUGUGGUUUCUCCUUUGUAUGAACUAUCAUGUGUUUCGUCAGGUCUGAUGCCCUCAAAAAUGUUUUGUCACAUUGAUCACACGUAUGCCACUUCUCUCCAGUGUGGAUCAUCAUGUGAUCCUUAAGAUGUGCUGAUUGUCUGAAACUCUUCCCGCACUGAUCACAAGUGAAUGGUUUCUCUCCAGUAUGAACUCUCAUGUGCCUAUUAAGGUGUCCUUUUAUUGUAAAACUCUUCCCGCACUGAUCACAUGUGUGCGGUUUUUCUCCAGAGUGGAUCCUCUCAUGUGUUUUCAGGUCUCCUGAAUAAAUGAAUCUCUUGUCACAGUCUGAACACUUGAAUGGUUUCUCUCCAGUAUGAACUCUCAUGUGAACAUUAAGUCUAUAUUUGCUCGUAAAACUCUUUCCACACUGAGUGCAGGUGAAAGAUGUCUUGGCUCUUCUUUUCUUCAAAACUUUUUGUUUGGUUUGAGAGCAACUCCAAGGUUUUUUCUUUGUUUUGAUAUGUUUUUUCUUCUCAGAUUCACUCAAUUCUACAUUCUCCUCAUUUCCUUCAUUAAACUCUAAAAUAAAAGCAAAAUCAGUUUAUUUGUCUGUAACUUUGGGGGGUGGGAGUGGAGGGGACAGAAAUGUGAAAGGACAUAAAAGUGAACCCUGGUGUAACAGUGUAAAGACAUUUUCUGAGCAAAAUUUUGUUACUUUUGAUGCAGUUUUAUAAAUUAUACAUCCCUGAAACUUUUCAUGAAGAUUGAUCUGCUAAAUAUCAUUUUUCAAACAGUAUAGAAACAAAUCCCAUGUUUAUAGAGAGAACCAUUAAAUGUUUGAUCAACCACACAAUUAUCAAACAUACAUUUAUUGUUUGCUGCUCCAUCUAUAUUAUUAUUCAAACAUCUACUAAAGUAUUGUUUUAUUACAUCUGCUGUCCCUGGGACUUAAGAUGUCAUCCUAAAAAAAAAAAAAAAAAAAAUAAACAGAAGAUUAAAUAUUACAUACAUGUUAGAGCCAGCCAACCUCAUUGGCAUAGCACAAGAAACACAAACAAAACAAAAAUUAAAUUAAAUACAAAACUAAAUACUAAAACCGCUUGAAACUUUAUAACUGUCAGUAUUAUUAAAGCUUUGUAAGCCUAAUGUACCACAAAGAGUCAUUCAAGAUUUAUAAAGAAUAAACACCAACCUCCUUGUUCCUCCUGUUUUAUUAUCAAGGGUUCUGGUUCCUCGUGUUUUAUCAUCAAGGGUUCUGGUUCUUC
rnacentral:lncRNA from 1 species